AUUGAACGCUGGCGGCAGGCCUAACACAUGCAAGUCGAACGGUAGCACAGAGGAGCUUGCUCCUUGGGUGACGAGUGGCGGACGGGUGAGUAAUGUCUGGGAAACUGCCCGAUGGAGGGGGAUAACUACUGGAAACGGUAGCUAAUACCGCAUAACGUCGCAAGACCAAAGAGGGGGACCUUCGGGCCUCUUGCCAUCGGAUGUGCCCAGAUGGGAUUAGCUAGUAGGUGGGGUAACGGCUCACCUAGGCGACGAUCCCUAGCUGGUCUGAGAGGAUGACCAGCCACACUGGAACUGAGACACGGUCCAGACUCCUACGGGAGGCAGCAGUGGGGAAUAUUGCACAAUGGGCGCAAGCCUGAUGCAGCCAUGCCGCGUGCAUGAAGAAGGCCUUCGGGUUGUAAAGUACUUUCAGCGAGGAGGAAGGCGUUGUGGUUAAUAACCGCAACGAUUGACGUUACUCGCAGAAGAAGCACCGGCUAACUCCGUGCCAGC
rnacentral:rRNA from 1 species